UUGCCAGCCCGCUCAAGAAACUCAAAUGAAUUGACGGGGGCCCGCACAAGCGGAGGAGCAUGUGGUUUAAUUCGAUGAUACGCGAGGAACCUUACCUGGGCUCGAACGUAAGAUGACUGUAGGUGAAAGCUUACAUCUCUUCGGAGCAUUUUACGAGGUGCUGCAUGGUUGUCGUCAGCUCGUGCCGUGAGGUGUCGGGUUAAGUCCCAUAACGAGCGCAACCCCUACCUUUAGUUGCCAUCAGGUAAUGCUGGGGACUCUAAAGGAACUGCCUACGCAAGUAGUGAGGAAGGCGGGGAUGACGUCAAAUCAGCACGGCCCUUACGUCCAGGGCUACACACGUGCUACAAUGGCCGGCACAACGGGAAGCGAGUUCGCGAGGACGAGCGGAUCCCUCAAAGCCGGUCGCAGUUCGGAUUGAAGUCUGCAACUCGACUUCAUGAAGCUGGAAUCGCUAGUAAUCGUGGAUCAGCCAAGCCGCGGUGAAUACGUUCCCGGGCCUU
rnacentral:rRNA from 1 species